rnacentral:rRNA from 1 species
CGCUAUCACUCCUACGGGAGGCAGCAGUGGGGAAUAUUGCACAAUGGGCGCAAGCCUGAUGCAGCCAUGCCGCGUGUAUGAAGAAGGCCUUCGGGUUGUAAAGUACUUUCAGCAGUGAGGAAGGUGGUGUCGUUAAUAGCGGCAUCAUUUGACGUUAGCUGCAGAAGAAGCACCGGCUAACUCCGUGCCAGCAGCCGCGGUAAUACGGAGGGUGCGAGCGUUAAUCGGAAUUACUGGGCGUAAAGCGCAUGCAGGUGGUUUGUUAAGUCAGAUGUGAAAGCCCGGGGCUCAACCUCGGAAUUGCAUUUGAAACUGGCAGACUAGAGUACUGUAGAGGGGGUAGAAUUUCAGGUGUAGCGGUGAAAAUGCGUAGAGAUCUGAAGGAAUACCAGUGGCGAAGGCGGCCCCCUGGACAAAGACUGACGCUCAGAUGCGAAAGCGUGGGGAGCAAACAGGAUUAGAUACCCUGGUAG